AACGAACGCUGGCGGCGUGCUUAACACAUGCAAGUCGAACGCGAAAGGGGCUUCGGUCCUGAGUAGAGUGGCGCACGGGUGAGUAACGCGUAGAUAACCUGUCCUGGUGUCUGGAAUAACGUCUCGAAAGGGGCACUAAUACCGGAUAUUCUUGCUUUCUUCAAGGUAUGCAAGGAAAGGUGGCCUCUGGAACAAGCUACUGCACGAGGAGGGGUCUGCGUACCAUUAGCUAGUAGGUGGGGUAAUGGCCUACCUAGGCGACGAUGGUUAGCGGGUCUGAGAGGAUGAUCCGCCACACUGGCACUGGAAUACGGGCCAGACUCCUACGGGAGGCAGCAGUGAGGAAUAUUGCGCAAUGGGGGCAACCCUGACGCAGCGACGCCGCGUGAGUGAGGAAGGCCUUCGGGUCGUAAAGCUCUGUCAAGAGGGAAGAAGUGCAUGGUGGUUAAUAUCUGUCAUGUUUGACGGUACCUCUAAAGGAAGCACCGGCUAACUCCGUG
rnacentral:rRNA from 1 species